rnacentral:rRNA from 1 species
UACGGAGGGGGCAAGCGUUGUUCGGAAUUACUGGGCGUAAAGGGCUCGUAGGCGGCCAACUAAGUCAGACGUGAAAUCCCUCGGCUCAACCGGGGAACUGCAUCUGAUACUGGAUGGCUUGAGAUUGGGAGAGGGAUGCGGAAUUCCAGGUGUAGCGGUGAAAUGCGUAGAUAUCUGGAGGAACACCGGUGGCGAAGGCGGCAUCCUGGACCAACACUGACGCUGAGGAGCGAAAGCCAGGGGAGCAAACGGG